AAUUACAAUAGUGUAAUGGACUUAUGCUGUACCCACAGCGUACUGGAUAGAACCCAGAUAGGACUACUUAAUAGGAGAAAAAAAAUG
rnacentral:ncRNA from 1 species